UACGAAGGGGGCUAGCGUUGUUCGGAAUCACUGGGCGUAAAGGGCGCGUAGGCGGCUUUAUAAGUCGGGUGUGAAAUCCCACGGCUCAACCGUGGAAGUGCAUUCGAAACUGCAGAGCUUGAAUAUGGUAGAGGAGAGUAGAAUUCCUGGUGUAGUGGUGAAAUACGUAGAUAUCAGGAGGAAUACCGGUGGCGAAGGCGACUCUCUGGACCAAUAUUGACGCUGAGAAACGAAAGUGCGGGGAUCAAACAGG
rnacentral:rRNA from 1 species